AGGCUGUCCGCCGGGCCUGGGCUGCUCCAGCUACGCGGGGAGGCGGCCCCAUUGCAAAGUGCAGUUUCUCCGCGGAGGUGGCGGUGGGUCAGUGGCAGAGGGCCAUGGUUUCCAUGUUAAGGAAGCGGACGUGCAUCUUGGUCUCAAUGUCGAUCCCCUGCCAGAUCUUCAGGAAGUCCUCGAAGGUGAUCCCCUCGUACACCUGAUCAGGCUCCAUCUGCCCCAUGCACACGCUGGCCGCCUCCAUCAUGGCCCCGUCGGCGAUGGAGCGAGCGGACUCCUUCUCGAUGUGAGGGUUUCCCGACAGCAGCUCCUCGACCACCUGCCAGGUGGGGCGGAAACAAACGGUGACCUUGGGCCUCCAUCAGGGUCGUGGGGGGCAGAGGGGGAAGGCACCAG
rnacentral:lncRNA from 1 species